rnacentral:rRNA from 1 species
GACGAACGCUGGCGGCGUGCUUAACACAUGCAAGUCGAACGGAAAGGCCCUGCUUUUGUGGGGUGCUCGAGUGGCGAACGGGUGAGUAACACGUGAGUAACCUGCCCUUGACUUUGGGAUAACUUCAGGAAACUGGGGCUAUUACCGGAUAGGAGCUCCUGCUGCAUGGUGGGGGUUGGAAAGUUUCGGCGGUUGGGGAUGUACUCGCGGCUUAUCAGCUUGUUGGUGGGGUAGUGGCUUACCAAGGCUUUGACGGGUAGCCGGCCUGAGAGGGGGACCGGCCACAUUGGGACUGAGAUACGGCCCAGACUGCUACGGGAGGCAGCAGUGGGGAAUAUUGCACAAUGGGCGGAAGCCUGAUGCAGCAACGCCGCGUGCGGGAUGACGGGCUUCGGGUUGUAAACCGAUGUCGCCUGUGACGAGGCGUGAGUGACGGUAAUGGGUAAAGAAGCACCGGCUAACUACGUG